rnacentral:rRNA from 1 species
GCUGGCGGCGUGCCUAAUACAUGCAAGUCGAGCGGAAAGGCCUCUUCGGAGGUACUCGAGCGGCGGACGGCUGAGUAACGCGUAGGAACGUACCCCAAACUGAGGGAUAAGCACCAGAAAUGGUGUCUAAUACCGCAUGUGCUCUAAGGAGUAAAGCUUCGGCGGUUUGGGAACGGCCUGCGUAUGAUUAGCUUGUUGGUGAGGUAAUGGCUCACCAAGGCGACGAUCAUUAGCUGGUCUGAGAGGAUGAUCAGCCAGACUGGGACUGAGAACGGCCCAGACUCCUACGGGAGGCAGCAGUAGGGAAUUUUCCACAAUGGGCGAAAGCCUGAUGGAGCAACGCCGCGUGCAGGAUGAAUGCCUUCGGGUUGUAAACUGCUUUUAUAUGUGACGAUUAUGACGGUAGCAUAUGAAUAAGGAUCGGCUAACUCCGUGCCA